AGUGAACGCUGGCGGUAGGCCUAACACAUGCAAGUCGAACGGCAGCACAGUAAGAGCUUGCUCUUACGGGUGGCGAGUGGCGGACGGGUGAGGAAUACAUCGGAAUCUACUUUUUCGUGGGGGAUAACGUAGGGAAACUUACGCUAAUACCGCAUACGACCUACGGGUGAAAGCAGGGGAUCUUCGGACCUUGCGCGAUUGAAUGAGCCGAUGUCGGAUUAGCUAGUUGGCGGGGUAAAGGCCCACCAAGGCGACGAUCCGUAGCUGGUCUGAGAGGAUGAUCAGCCACACUGGAACUGAGACACGGUCCAGACUCCUACGGGAGGCAGCAGUGGGGAAUAGUGGACAAUGGGCGCAAGCCUGAUCCAGCCAUACCGCGUGGGUGAAGAAGGCCUUCGGGUUGUAAAGCCCUUUUGUUGGGAAAGAAAAGCAGCAGGUUAAUACCCCGCUGUUCUGACGGUACCUAAAGAAUAAGCACCGGCUAACUUC
rnacentral:rRNA from 1 species